rnacentral:rRNA from 1 species
CAGCCGUAAACAAUGUGCGUUAGGUGUGUCGGUAACCACGUGUUACUGAUGCGCCGAAGAGAAAUCGUGAAACGCACCACCUGGGAAGUACGGUCGCAAGGCUGAAACUUAAAGGAAUUGGCGGGGGAGCACCACAACAGGUGGAGCCUGCGGUUUAAUUGGAUUCAACGCCGGACAUCUCACCGGAUAAGACAGCUGAAUGAUUGUCAAUCUGAAGGUUUUACAUGACUAGCUGAGAGGAGGUGCAUGGCGUCGAGUGACU